rnacentral:rRNA from 1 species
UGCAAGUCGAACGCUUCUUUUUCCACCGGAGCUUGCUCCACCGGAAAAAGAGGAGUGGCGAACGGGUGAGUAACACGUGGGUAACCUGCCCAUCAGAAGGGGAUAACACUUGGAAACAGGUGCUAAUACCGUAUAACAAUCGAAACCGCAUGGUUUUGAUUUGAAAGGCGCUUUCGGGUGUCGCUGAUGGAUGGACCCGCGGUGCAUUAGCUAGUUGGUGAGGUAACGGCUCACCAAGGCCACGAUGCAUAGCCGACCUGAGAGGGUGAUCGGCCACAUUGGGACUGAGACACGGCCCAAACUCCUACGGGAGGCAGCAGUAGGGAAUCUUCGGCAAUGGACGAAAGUCUGACCGAGCAACGCCGCGUGAGUGAAGAAGGUUUUCGGAUCGUAAAACUCUGUUGUUAGAGAAGAACAAGGAUGAGAGUAACUGUUCAUCCCUUGACGGUAUCUAACCAGAAAGCCACGGCUAACUACGUGCCAGCAGCCGCGGUAAUACGUAGGUGGCAAGCGUUGUCCGGAUUUAUUGGGCGUAAAGCGAGCGCAGGCGGUUUCUUAAGUCUGAUGUGAAAGCCCCCGGCUCAACCGGGGAGGGUCAUUGGAAACUGGGAGACUUGAGUGCAGAAGAGGAGAGUGGAAUUCCAUGUGUAGCGGUGAAAUGCGUAGAUAUAUGGAGGAACACCAGUGGCGAAGGCGGCUCUCUGGUCUGUAACUGACGCUGAGGCUCGAAAGCGUGGGGAGCAAACAGGAUUAGAUACCCUGGUAGUCCACGCCGUAAACGAUGAGUGCUAAGUGUUGGAGGGUUUCCGCCCUUCAGUGCUGCAGCUAACGCAUUAAGCACUCCGCCUGGGGAGUACGACCGCAAGGUUG